rnacentral:tRNA from 1 species
UACUGUUGUUAUUUAUGGUGUAUGCUUGCCAUUUAUAGUAUGGAUCGGGAUUCGUAAUCAAUAGGUCCGCGGUUCGAUUCCGCGCAACGGCAG